GACCACAGAAAUAUGAGAAUUUCCUGAUCGGGAAGAUAUGAAUAAACCACAAACUUUAAAACUUUAAAAUGUUUAAAACAUUUUUAUCAGAAUUUGUGUACACCGUGAUAAUCAGAAUACCUCUUUGAACUGAUGGAAAUGAAUUCGGAUAAGGCGAUAAACCUCAUUGCUUUAUCGUUAUCAUUUUUUUUGUCUGUGUCUCCCAUCAAAGAAAGUUGCCAGCCAGUUAUUAUACAAGGAAGACCAGUAUGACAGAUGUAGAUAUCUUGACGAGCAAGAUAUUAACAAGUUGCUUUCAUUCGUGAAAUCGUUUGAGAAGUCCAAAAUACCGCUAAACAAUUUUGCUGUGGACAUUGUAAAAAGACUUGAAAUUCUUGAGUCAAAAGGAACAUAAUUUUGGCUUGGAGCAUCAGACAUGAAUAAAGAAGGAACAUUUAUUUGGAAUUCUACAGGACUGCCUCUGAAGUUCAGUUACUGGAAAUCAGGGGAACCAAA